UUGUAGGAGAUGGGACAUCUCUGGAAGAGUGAACAGAAAGACUAAGAGAACCCCCAAAAUAAAGAGAUCAGAAGACUUUUAAAAGCAAAGAAAAAGCAAAGAGCAUGGCCAAGAUCACGUCUCCUCCAAAGAGCAGACACCGAGAUGAUGGAGAAAUUAGACUGCUUAAGGAGUGCCUGUCCCACCCGUCAGCAGGUACUAUAACGAGGGCAGGGAAUCAUCCUGUCUGCUGGCCCCUCUUUCCAUCCUCUUCUCCUUGCGCUCUAGUUCCUGCCAUCUUUUUUUUUUUUUUAAAGAUUUUAUUUUUUCCUUUUUUCUCCCCAAAGCCCCCCGGUACAUAGUUGUAUAUUCUUCGUUGUGGGUUCUUCUAGUUGUGGCAUGUGGGACGCUGCCUCAGCGUGGUCUGAUGAGCAGUGCCAUGUCCGCGCCCAGGAUUCGAACCGACGAAACACUGGGCCGCCUGCAGCGGAGCGCGCGAACUUAACCACUCGGCCACGGGGCCAGCCCCUAGUUCCUGCCAUCUUUAAGGACCAGUGGCGUCCUCAUUGUUGUUUCUUUCAUCCUUCUCAUCCCUCUUCAUUUUUUGCUUCUUCACGACAAUAAGAGUGAUUAAUCGUAUAGUAAAUCAUCACAAGCCAGCCCUGGUGGUCUAGUGGUUAAGUUCAGUACUCUUGCUGCCUCAGCCCAGAUACGUUGCCAAGCCAGGGAACCACACGACCUGUUUGUCAGUUGUCAUACUGUGGUGGCUGCAGGUUGCUGUGAUGCUGAAAGCUAUGCCACCAGUAUUUCAAAUACCAGCAGGGUCACCCAUGGUGAAAGGUUUCAGCAGAGCUUUCAGACUAAGACAGACUGGGAAGAAAGAUGUAGACACCUACUUCUGAAAAAAUCAGCCAUACGAACCCCAUGAACGGCAGUGGAGCAUUGUCUGAUGCAGCACCGGAAGGUGGGACGAUGGUGCAAAAGUCUGGGCAGGGUUUUGCUCCGCUGUGCACAGGGGCCAUAGGACUUGGAACUGAUGACACUUUCAACAAAAUUGUCAGAGUAUUAGGCAAUCAAUUUUUUGAUCUGUAAUCUGAUAUCACAACUAAGAGGUAUGACAAAUUAUGCCCAUUUUGUAGAAAAGAAAACUAAUACUUAAGAAUUAUAAGAUUAAGAAAAGACCUAUUUAAGGUUCAUACAGCUACUCAGAGAAAUGUCUCCUGCCUCAAAAUCCUGUAAUGUUUGCAAUGCACC
rnacentral:lncRNA from 1 species